AUUGAACGCUGGCGGCAGGCUUAACACAUGCAAGUCGAGCGGAGUGAUGGUGCUUGCACUAUCACUUAGCGGCGGACGGGUGAGUAAUGCUUAGGAAUCUGCCUAUUAGUGGGGGACAACAUCUCGAAAGGGAUGCUAAUACCGCAUACGUCCUACGGGAGAAAGCAGGGGAUCACUUGUGACCUUGCGCUAAUAGAUGAGCCUAAGUCGGAUUAGCUAGUUGGUGGGGUAAAGGCCUACCAAGGCGACGAUCUGUAGCGGGUCUGAGAGGAUGAUCCGCCACACUGGGACUGAGACACGGCCCAGACUCCUACGGGAGGCAGCAGUGGGGAAUAUUGGACAAUGGGGGGGAACCCUGAUCCAGCCAUGCCGCGUGUGUGAAGAAGGCCUUAUGGUUGUAAAGCACUUUAAGCGAGGAGGAGGCUCUUUUGGUUAAUACCCAAGAUGAGUGGACGUUACUCGCAGAAUAAGCACCGGCUAACUCUGUGCCAGCCGCCGCGGUAAUAC
rnacentral:rRNA from 1 species